AUGAAAUUGUUACGACGCCUAAAAGCAUCGACGGACUCCUUUCAUGCAUCGCUAAAAUUCACACCUACCCCAAACCUCCGUUUAGUCGAAACCCUACCCUCUUUCGCUCUAACCCCCUCUUCGGAUUCCUCCCAUGUCCUGUGCCUCCGUUCCCGAUCGAAAACCGACUCUCCGCCUCAUUUAAAACCAGCCCUCUCCCUCCAUUUCUAGCCCCAAACUAAUCCCUCUUUUCCCCCACCUCCUCCUCUUCCGGCCUCAUCAUGGACGGACGGUCUCCCUCCUCCUCCGACCUCUCAUCGCCGACGGUCUCCCUCUUCCUCCGACUUCUAGUCGCUGACGAUCUCCCUCUUCCUCCGACUUCUAGUCGCUGACGAUCUCCCUCUUCCUCUGGCCUCUCUAGCUCCUCCACCUCGCUCAUCCUCCUCCGAUCUCUCGUCGCCGUCGCCGUCGCCGUCGCCAUCAUCGUAGCUGUCCCUGAUGAGAUCCAGCAGGAGAUCACCAUCAACGACGUCGAGAGUCCGUCGACUAAGCUUCGCUAGGGCUCGUGUACAGUAGAGCCGACUGGGGAGCCUCUCCAACCGUUGUCGAAACCUCAGCGUCCUAUAGAUCCUGUAAAUUUUUGGUUGCUCAGAGAUGAGCAAAUCAUAUCAUUCGAUCCAAUCCAAGGAUUAAGCAAUGAUGGUUGAUCGAGUUAUUCUCUAAAUGGCUUUUUAAACAGAUGAUAUCAUGCCUCGACACAGACGACAGUUGAAGUGGUCCCAGCAGUUUAAGGCCGGUCGUUCGUCAUUCCCACAGCAAUCCCAUGCCGGUCCUUCAUCAUUCCUGCAGUAGUCCCAUGCCGAUCCGUCACAACCUGUCGACAACCGUCAACAAGUCAUUCGGUACAAUCGGAUGGGGCAGCCCAUCAACAAGUCGACUAGAUUGUUGAUGAGCUUCUCAAGUACUAUUGCACAGUAAAUUUGUACUCCCUCCAGACAGCCAUGAAUAGGUGUUGAAGUCCCUUAAUCGAAAAUGGAAAGAAUUUAAGGCAACACUAAAGAGGGACUAUAAGAGAGAGGGCUUGGCAGAGAACGAUGUUACUCAUAUUUGUCCUCUUGAUGUUGAUCCUCAUUGGUGGAGGGAGCUUGUCCAUUAUUGAUUCUCUGAGAGAGGACAAGCAUAUUCUGCUAUUGGUAGGGCUGCACGAGCAGCUCAAUCUGCUCCUCAUACAUCAGGUUCCAAAAGCUAUGCACGACGCAAACAAGAAUAUAUAGAUGAGCAUGGUCGGGAGCCGGAUCAGGUGGAGUUUUAUACGAUGACUUAUGUUCAUCGAGAUGGCCGUUUUAUUACUGACGAGUCGCGAGAUAUAUUUGAGAGAGUUUUAUCUCUUAUUGCAGAGCGUGUCGGUGAAUCCUUAGCAUUUAUGGAGGCCAGUCGUGUCGAGGCUCAGAUGAUGACAAAGCUACUGGGACUGGAUUGGUACGGUCGAGUGAGAGGUUAUAGAGUUGGAGUCAUCCCCACUCGGUUAUCUAAUAUACGCUGAUGCACUCAGGAUGCUAGAGAGAGCUCUAGCAAUGUUGAUAUAUCUAUGCCCGAGGCUCGAAUGAAGGCACGGAUCAAGAAGCAGAUAGAGGCGCGGGUGCAGGCGCAAGUGCAGGUAGAGGCGUGGGUGCAGGCGCAAAUGGGGAUGAUAAAACAAAAUUAUGACACUGUAAUAUCCAGCUUGAAGACUCAGAUUGAUCAGUUGGCAUCCACAUUACACACAUUUGUAGACUCUUCUAGGAUAAAUAUCUUAUUAUAUUUAUAUUUGUUUAUUAACUUAAUAAUUUAAUUUAUAUUAUUAUUUUCGUAUUCUCAACACUGAAGUUUUUAUAUAUUUGUUGUAGACUCCUGAUAGUUCCAACAGUCAUGGAGUUGAUGAUAGUCAUGCUUCUAUGGAUGACUGAUAGCCCAAUGCCUCUAUCUUUCUUUUGAGUUUUGUAAUUCAUGAACAUGACGGACAGGUUUACGUAUUGAUAUGGAUUGUUAUUAUGACUUUAUAUUGCUGUUUGAAUUUUGUUAAGCUGGUAUUUUUUCAAAUAUAUUUAACUUAAAGCAAGGAUUGAAAUGCUCUUUAAAUGAACUAACCUGCAAUUCUCUUUUUGGAUCUAGUUUAUUAUGAAAAUGAUCGUGUGCUCCAUCAUGAUGAAAGUAUAUAUCGAUUUGAGUGUGUAAGUUUCAUGCCAUCUGUUGUUUUAUUAUUGAGACUUUGACUUCUUGUUUUCAUAAUGGUUGUCAAAAUACUGCAUCUAAAUCUAUGGUAGUAAGAUAUGGUGGGGUUUGCCUAGUAUUUUUGAAUGAGUUGGUAACGAGUUGUGCUUGGGAAGUUUUGUUGUUGAUGAAGGCUUCAUGUUGUUUUAUGAUGGGAUUUUAUUUAGAUGCUUCAGAAACUCUUAUACAAAUGCUUGAUUUAGGGUUAUGGCCUGAAUACAUAGACAGGGCAGCUGUGUUGCAGGGACUUAGGAGGAGCAUACAGGAAUCUGGAAACAUUGAACCUUACAUCAAGCUGUGCAGGCGCCUAUCUGAUAUGGAUCUGACUGGACCCUGCCUUGUAUAUUUGUACAUAAGUAAAUAUAAGCUGUGGAUUAUAAAAAUGCUCUGAAGGCUUAGAUGAGAGUUUCUGCCAACUUGUUUGGUCGAUUGUUCUCUUACCAGCCAAGCUUUUCUUUAUGCAUUUUGCUGCAUUUGUAUAGUAAGAUGAAUGAGGACCGGAAGUUAAAGUGUUUUAAUAGGCACCAAACAUGGAUCAAGAUGAAAUAUGUCCAAAAAAAUGUCACCAUUGUCUAUACAGGCAUACAAAAGAUAUAUGUAAUCUCAGAUUUUUGUAAUUUUGCCUUCUAUGAUGUUGUAAAUCUUGUAUUUCAAAUGUGUGGGCUGUCUGAAAUAAUCCUCUGGAUGGCUUUAUUUAGUCUCCCUCAGGUUGAAGCUUGACUAUCGAGUGCAGGUUUGUGGAAAAUCAAUGGGGGAAGAAGUGCAGGAGUGAAGAAAUGCAUGAAGAAUAUCACCUGUAAAGUAAGGCAGGACAGGUGAUGAAUGGGAGUAUUCAUGUUCGGUUGUAUCAGGGAGAACUCCCUGAAAAAAUACAUGCUGAUACGUUAUACAUUACUAAAAUUAGUGUAUGUGUUUUUUUUUCCUAAAUUAGAUGAAUUGUAAGUGAGUUUAUAUUGAAUCUUGGGUUACCAGAUCAAAAUUUAAAUGUUCCCGAGGAAUUGCAUGAAAUGCCUGUUCGCAGCCCAAAAAGUUAGUUCUCCAGAACUGGUCGAGUAUUUCUCUUAGGCUAUAAAGCAGGCCACUUCAUGUAUGACCCUCAGGUAUCCUUUUUAAGAAUAUUUUGGGCAGUUAAUAUAUUUUUUAUUUGAUACAUUCAUCUCGAUUCAUCUCUGUUUUUGUAAAAGAUGCUAACAGGAGGUCAUCAAUAAAAUGCGUGUGCAUUCACCAAUCUUGAAUCAGAUUAAGAUCACAGCUUCUGGUCAUGCUCGUUUUGCAUUGCGUCGCACUUUUGAUAUAUGAUAUGUGAUGCCUCUAAUAGUAACUAACCUUGGUUCUUAGCCAGAGUAUAACAUGAGGCGGCGGCAGAAAACGAACACGCCAACAGCAGGUUGGGGUCCAUGCCUGGGACUGUUCUCGCUGGCAUUCCCUGUGCUGGUCUGAUGGCUCUGCGGUAUAUUAGAGCAGGUCACUUGAUUGACUUGUGCGGGCAUACCAAUCUAUUUAAAGCCACUUUGAGCAUCUAAUGCCUCCUCAUUAUUGCCUUGCGACGUUACCAUCAGCCGACUCUCCAGCCAGUGGACCAGAUGCAGGCUUCAAUACCGCAGUCAAUGGAAAGCAGUCAAUGCAAAGGCCUGUAACUAUUUCUCAUAACCAUGUAGAAAAUUGGCACUUGGCACUUCUCAUCUGCCUUAUUUUCUUGUCAUUUUUGUUGGCGGUCCCUCAAGAGGGAACUAAUAAAUAGGUGCGGAAAGAAUAACAUAAGACUAAGGAUGGUGGUACUAGAUUCCAAAAAAAACAUAUGCAACUUGAGAGAUUCCAAAGUGGUUCAUAUUGUUUCAACAUUUUUAAUAAAUUUUGAACAGGUAUAUAUAUUAUUAUA